rnacentral:rRNA from 1 species
CAGAUACCGCCCUAGUUCUGACCGUAAACGAUGCCAACUAGCGAUCCGCCGGCGGAUUCAUUCGCCCUGGUGGGGAGCUUCCCGGAAACGAAAGUCUUCCGGUUCCGGGGGAAGUAUGGUUGCAAAGCUGAAACUUAAAGGAAUUGGCGGAAGGGCACCACCAGGAGUGGAGCCUGCGGCUUAAUUUGACUCAACACGGGGAAACUCACCCGGCCCGGACACCGUAAGGAUUGACAGAUUGAUAGCUUUUUCAUGAUUCGGUGGAUGGUGGUGCAUGGCCGUUCUUAGUUCGUGGAGCGAUUUGUCUGGUUUAUUCCGAUAACGAGCGAGACUCUGGCCUACUAAAUAGUUGGCACAUUGUCACUGUGUGCACAACUUCUUAGAGGGAUUUUCGGUGUUCAGCCGCACGAAAUUGAGCAAUAACAGGUCUGUGAUGCCCUUAGAUGUCCGGGGCUGCACGCGCGCUACACUGGCAAAAUCAGCGUGCUUGUCCUCCCCCGAAAGGGGUUGGUAAACCGAUGAAAAUUUGCCGUGAUUGGGAUCGGACAUUGCAAUUAUUGUCCGUGAACGAGGAAUCCCUUGUAAGGGCGAGUCAUCAACUCGUCCUGAAUACGUC